UCCGGUUGAUCCUGCCGGACCCGACUGCUAUUUGGGUGAGGAUAAGCCAUGCGAGUCGAAUGGGAUACCUAAAUUUCCCAUGGCGAACUGCUCAGUAACACAUGAUCAACUUAACCUAUUGAGAAAGAUAACCUCGGGAAACUGAGGAUAAUAUUUCAUAGUUGAAUUGGCUUGGAAAAGUUUUUCAAUAAAAGGGAUAGGGAAAAUGGUCUCUAUCCGCUAUAGGAUAGGAUCGUGUUCGAUUAUGGUAGUUGGUGAGGUAACGGCUCACCAAGCCGAUAAUCGAUAGGGGCCGUGAGAGCGGGAGCCCCGAGAUGGGUACUGAGACAACGACCCAGGCCUUACGAGGCGCAGCAGGCGCGGAACCUCCGCAAUACACGAAAGUGUGACGGGGUUACCCAAAGUGCUCUUUCUAGAGCUGUGGUAGGUGAGUAAUGUUCCCUACUAGAAAGGAGAGGGCAAGGCUGGUGCCAGCCGCCGCGGUAAAACCAGCUCUUCAAGUGGUCGGGAUAAUUAUUGGGCUUAAAGUGUCCGUAGCCGGUUUAGAAAGUUCCUGGUAAAAUCGGGUAGCUUAACUAUCCGUAUGCUAGGAAUACUGCUAUACUAGAGGGCGGGAGAGGUCUGAGGUACUACAGGGGUAGGGGUGAAAUCUUAUAAUCCUUGUAGGACCACCAGUGGCGAAGGCGUCAGACUGGAACGCGCCUGACGGUGAGGGACGAAAGCCAGGGGAGCGAACCGGAUUAGAUACCCCCGUAGUCC
rnacentral:rRNA from 1 species